rnacentral:misc_RNA from 1 species
AGGAUACAUCAAAACUCCUGUUUUAACGGUGUUGUCUGAGCUACAAGCAACGAAUCAAAACUUUCAACAACGGAUCUCUUGGUUCUGGCAUCGAUGAAGAACGCAGCGAAAUGCGAUAAGUAGUGUGAAUUGCAGAAUUCAGUGAAUCAUCGAAUCUUUGAACGCACAUUGCGCCCCUUGGUAUCCCGAGGGGCAUGCCUGUUCGAGCGUCAUUUCACCACUCAAGCCUGGCUUGGUGUUGGGCGACGUCCCCCUUUAGGGACGCGCCUCGAAACGCUCGGCGGCGUGGCACCGGCUUUAAGCGUAGCAGAAUCUUUCGCUUUGAAAGUCGGGGCCCCGUCUGCCGGAAGACCUACUCACAAGGUUGACCUCGGAUCAGGUAGGGAUACCCGCUGAACUUAAGCAUAU